AUUGAACGCUGGCGGCAUGCUUUACACAUGCAAGUCGAACGGUAACAGGCCUUCGGGUGCUGACGAGUGGCGAACGGGUGGGUAAUGCACCGGAACGUACCCAGAGGUGGGGGAUAACGCAGCGAAAGCUGUGCUAAUACCGCAUGGGAUCUGAGGUUGAAAGCGGGGGACCGAGCAGCAAUGUUUGGCCUCGCGCCUUUGGAGCGGCCGAUGUCGGUUUAGCUAGUUGGUGGGGUAAAGACCUACCAAGUCGACGAUCCGUAGCUGGUCUGAGAGACCGACCACCCACACUAGGAGGGAGACAGGGCCCAUGGGACUACGGGAGGCACCAGAGUGGAAUGUUGGGCAAUGGGCGCGAGCAUGAUCCAGCAAUGCGGCGUGCGGGAAGACGGCCUUCGGGUUGGAAAGAGCUUUUGGCAGGAGCGAACCGGUGUCCGCUAAUACCGGGCGCUAAUGACGGUACCUGCAAAAUAAGCACCGGCUAACUACGUG
rnacentral:rRNA from 1 species